rnacentral:lncRNA from 1 species
GUCUGCACCGGCCACCAGGCUGACACGGGGCCUCGUCCGGGACCCUCCAGCUCCGGGUGGGGGACGGCUCCAAGUCAGGCACCGCUGCCAGCACUGCGUCCACACGGGGCAGGAAGCCCGGCCGGGCAGCCCCCUCGCCGGCCCCCUCCCACCCCUCGCAGGCCCGUCCCCAGGACGCGAACCCGAGAUGGGGCCCUCAGUGGGCGCACACACAGGGACACUCGAGACGUGGAGGGAGGGAAACCCAGACGCCCAUCGGGGGCGGCGGUGGGCUGUUGUGUUCACACCGACGGGCUGCCAGCCGUCCACGCGAGCGCGGCGGGCGCGUCCUCGGCAAACGGGCACACCUGUGUCCCGCAGCUGGCUCGGGGCGGCCGCCGGAGCGCCGAGACCGAGUCACACCUGGGGCCCCCGGGGGCCGUGCUCCUGCCGAGCGGCCCCCGCCCCCUGACCGUUACCUGCGGCAAACUCCUCGAUGGUCAUGAGCGGGAAGCGGAUGAGGGCGAGCGCCUUGCCCAGCACCUUGCGCUUGUUCUCGGGCGUCACGGGCAGCUGCUGCCGCUGGCACUCGGCCUCGGACCAGCGCACGACGGCGCUGAACAGACGCACCUCGCGAAUGCCCAGGGUGUCCCGCUCCAGCACGGCCACCAGCGUGUCUGCAGGGAGGGGACACCUCAGCGCCCCGCGUGCCCUCGGCGGGCGCCAUCCCCCACCCCGGGCCCACCCCCGGCCUCACCCAGGUCGAUGUCCGUGAAGCCCUCGGCGGUGAUGGCGUCGGCGGUGUUCUUGUCGAUGUUUUCCAGGCACAGGCUGGCCAGCUGCGGUUCGUCGAAGAGUCGUGCCUGGCGAGGGGGAGCACGUCAACACGCUGCCCGGGCGGGGGCCCCAGACGCCCUCUGGCUCAAACCUUCCAUGGAGUUCAAGUCCCGCGGGGGCCACGGUGCCCAGACUGAGCAGCCCCGGGACCGGCCGAUGCCGACAGGACAGGCCCCAGGGGGCAGGAAGCCCGGGGACAGGACGCAGCGCAGCCCUGACCGCCGGAGACGGCUCCAUCGGGACCCACCGGGCGGGGCGGCGCGAAGAUUCCAGCUCCUGCCCAGCACAACCCUACGGCCGCUCACGUGCACCCUCGGCUUGGCUGCCGGGGCAGCUCCGGGCCUCCCGACAGGCCUGGCUCAGGCCCCGCAGAGCAACCUGGACGAGCCGACGACCCACGCGUCUGGAGACGGUGCGGGGGCCGCCCCGGGACAGCCCCCCUGCCCCGGCGGGCCUGUCCCCUGCCUGCCUGUGCCCCCGAGGCCUCGCCAACCCCACCCCAACACCCGGCGCCACGGGGCCUGGAAGCGACCUUCUCAAAGGAACUGA